UCGGUGCGUUAUUUACAAGCCAGUUGGGCUGCAGCAGAGCCGGAGGAUUGUGAGGGGCUCCCGGGCUUCGGAUGCGGGCGCGCGGCCACGGGCAGGAGGUCAGGCUGGACCCCAGGUUCUGGGGGACGACCCGCAGCAAUCCCGGCCCCUGCGCUGCGCCGCCCCCGCCCGCCGCACCCCGGGGCGCGCGCCGGCCACGGUCACCGGCGGCUGGAGCGCUGCCCUCGCCUCCCCCAUUGUUCCCACUGCCUUUUUCGCCUUUUGUUAUUUAUUUGCACCAGCAUUGUGUUGUCUCCGAAGCCGCCUCAUGACCAGCCGAGGGAUUUCACUUCGUCCUUGAGAGAGAGAGAGAGACAGAGAGCAAGAGAGAGCGAGAGAGGGAGCCAGAGGUUGGGGUGGGGGGGUGGAAGAGAGAGAGAGAGAGAAAGAGAGAGGGACAGGCGCGCACACACACACACACGCGCGCGCACACCCCACACAAACACACCCCGACACAGACACACACACACACAGAGUGCAAAAGGCGAGCCGCCCCAUCCCGUCUCCAGGGUCCUCCGGGGGCCCCCGCCCGCCGCUGCGCAUCCCGCGUCAGAGGAGCGAUUAACCAGACCCGGUAAGGUACUAUUUUGUUGUUGCUGUUGUUUGAUCUAUGGACAUAGACACCCAGGCUUUCCUGUAACCCCAUGCUCUGGGCAUCCUGGUGUUGCCCCUCAUCUACCUCUUUCUCUGCUAAUGACUUUUGCGUCUUUGAAGUACUUGGAUCACAGCUUCUUUAUGGUGAGCUUAAUGGCUUUGUUUUCUGUUUUGCCUCACAAAGUACGUUGCAGGCAUUGCUCAACAAUAUAUUUAAUUUGACUUAGUAUUCAUACAAGGGUUGAGACUGUCUGUGAUACUAAUGUUAGGGCUGGAAAUCGCGUCUUAUUCAUGGAAGGGGCUUGGGUUCUGCUGUUACUGGGUAAGGUUUGUGCUGAGAACUUUCAGCAUGAAGCAGACUUUGCCAGCCUAGCUCUCAGAUUGGUAUGUUGAUCCUACCCCUUUAUCCAUUUAGUCUUUUUUGUUGUUCCACCCACUCUGCGCGCGCACGUGUGUGUGUGUGUGUGUGUGUGUGUGUGUGUGUGUGUGUGUGUGUGUGUGGUGUGUGUAUGUGUGGUGUGUGUGUGUGUGUGUGUGUGUGUGUGUGUGUGUUUCUACCCUUGCAUGUGUGGAUGUCUGAGCUGAUGCCAAGUGUCAUCCUGUAUCAAAUGUCUCCUGUUUUUGGCACAGUCUCUUCCUGACCCUGCAGCUCACCACUGACUGGCUAGCAGAGAGGCCCCAGGAGGUUCCUGACUCUUUCCUGCCCCAGCACUAGGGUUAGAGAUGUGUUUACAUGGGUGCUAAGUUAUCCACGCUCAGGUCCCCUCAGGCUCGUAGAGCCAACAAUUUUCCCACUGACCUACCAUGGUAGACCCUACUCCUUCACAUAAAGCUUAGUAGUGGAUGUAAGUGAAUUCUUUUUGAUUUAGAGUUUGAUGUUUUCUCUGGGGUUUUCCUUUAAUCAGGAGCAAUGGCUCUGUGUGAUAAAAAAGCAUUAGAAUAUGAUAUGGUGUCUAAGUCAAACUCCUUGCCUGUGGUAGUUUCUAUUGAUCCACUGUAGUAUGAGGGCUGGGAAGGAGACACAUUGUCCCACCAAACGUGGUUCAUUAACACAGAAAGAAAUGGAUUGGUAGUCUGUCUUCUUAUGACCAGUUUACAGCGCUGAAGAAACUGGGUCUUCCUACCUACUGACUUCCUACCUAGUGAAGUCAUAUUUUACUGCUAGCCUGUGACAAUUGGCAGAGGGUGUAUUUAUGUGUAGAGGGGACAUACACAGCUAACUGAUGAGACAUGGGGUCAGCUUUCACCAGCUGUUUUGAUGGUCUUUGGUGCCAUAGUUGGCUUUUCUGGUUUUUCUCUUUCUUAUCCCAAUUCCAGGAGGCAAAAAAAGAGGGGAAGAGAUAUAAUUUGCAUCCUCUGUAUUGGAAAUGCUUGGAGGAUGCUUGGGUUUCCAGGAGAAAACCUGAAAGAGGAAAGGACUAGGGUGAAGGUGGUGUGGACAGGGUUUUUCAGAGGUACAUGAUCUGCAAGGUUCUUAGUUAAAAACAUCUAGAAACAUAGCAGUCCUGUCUAGUUCCUGUGCUGGGCAGGGACAGCUCUGAAGCCUUAGUUGGGUAGUCUAGUGGCAGCAUUCCAGUUUCUUUCCCCAGUAAUGGACUUCCCUGCUGGAAUUCGGAGCACCAGGGCCAUUUCCCUCAUCCUGGAAAUACAUAUAUUUGGCAGCACAUGUUCCUGUUAGAUGAGGGGAAGGCCCUAGGCUCUGUCUGUGUCUAUCCAUGAUUCUCCUUGGUACUGUGUUGUAGCAGCCUGGUCUGGAACACAAGGGCAUUUGAACAUCUAAACCUUUGUGGAUAGCAGCUCAAGAAACUCUCGUUAUUUUGUGAACCGUGUUUUCCCAGGAGUAAACAGUACAUGUAUGUGACUGGAUUCUUAGCUGUUGAAGGCUGACUCUUUUCCCCCAGUGUGAACCGAGUAUUUGUUCAUAUUUAGACAGCAUCUAGGUGGAGGUAAUUUAGGCAUUUAAUCAGAUAUAAAGCUGUGCUAAAAACAGGAAGAGCUCAUUAUAGAUUCACAGAUCUGUAUAUGUGUGUGCUCAGGGGUGAAAAUAAUCCUGGGAUACAUUUCAGAGGAAAGAGAUGAGUGAAAAUAAGAAAAAAAAAAAACCUAAUGGAUUUGAGCCCAAGUAAAUGAAACUCUAUUAUUUAAUUAUAGUAUCCUACUGUGAAUAUAAAUGGAAGAUGAGCAAGAAUUUUUUCCCCUGCUUGGAUUAUAGAAGAUUUCAUGACUAAAAGGGAAAGUCUGUCACUCAGAGCUCCACACUAGAGGUCUGAUUCUUCAUAGAGUGAAUCAGGGAACAGAGAAAAUAUUUUGGGAAUUGAGGACGAUAUCUUUUGCACACACUCAAGGUUUUUAUAUCUAACAUGAGUAAAAUUGUACACUGGAAUAAAGGUCUGGUUCAUCCAAUUUCCA
rnacentral:lncRNA from 1 species